rnacentral:rRNA from 1 species
UCCUGGCUUAGAACGAACGCUGGUGGCGUGUCUUAUACAUGCAAGUCGAGCGGUGCAGCAAUGCAUAGCGGCGAACGGGUGAGUAACGCGUAAGCAAUCUGCCCCCUGUUCGGGAAUAGCCGUGCCAACGCGCGGGUAAUACCGGAUAUCGUGGCUUCCCCCAUGGGAAGUUGACAAAAGAUUUAUCGACAGGGGAUGAGCUUGCGUCCGAUUAGCUAGUUGGCGGGCAACGGCCCACCAAGGCGACGAUCGGUAGCCGGCCUGAGAGGGUGAUCGGCCACAUUGGGACUGAGAUACGGCCCAGACUCCUACGGGAGGCAGCAGUAGGGAAUAUUGCACAAUGGGGGAAACCCUGAUGCAGCAACGCCACGUGUGGGAAGAAGCAUUUCGGUGUGUAAACCACUGUCGUGAGGGAAUAAGGCUUGCCUCCGGGCAAGUUGAAUGUACCUCGAGAGGAAGCACCGGCAAACUUCGUGCCAGCCGCCGC